GACGAACGCUGGCGGCGUGCUUAACACAUGCAAGUCGAACGGAAAGGCCCUGCUUUUGUGGGGUGCUCGAGUGGCGAACGGGUGAGUAACACGUGAGUAACCUGCCCUUGACUUUGGGAUAACUUCAGGAAACUGGGGCUAAUACCGGAUAGGAGCUCCUGCUGCAUGGUGGGGGUUGGAAAGUUUCGGCGGUUGGAGAUGGACUCGCGGCUUAUCAGCUUGUUGGUGGGGUAGUGGCUUACCAAGGCUUUGACGGGUAGCCGGCCUGAGAGGGUGACCGGCCACAUUGGGACUGGGAUACGGCCCAGACUCCUACGGGAGGCAACAGUGGGGAAUAAUGCACAAUGGGCGGAAGCCUGAUGCAGCAACGCCGCGUGCGGGAUGACGGCCUUCGGGUUGUAAACCGCUUUCGCCUGUGACGAAGCGUGAGUGACGGUAAUGGGUAAAGAAGCACCGGCUAACUACGUG
rnacentral:rRNA from 1 species